AUUGAACGCUGGCGGCAUGCUUUACACAUGCAAGUCGAACGGUAACAGGGAGCUUGCUCCGCUGACGAGUGGCGAACGGGUGAGUAAUGCAUCGGAACGUGCCGUGUAAUGGGGGAUAACGUAGCGAAAGUUACGCUAAUACCGCAUACGCCCUGAGGGGGAAAUGGGGGACCGCAAGGCCUCACGUUAUACGAGCGGCCGAUGUCGGAUUAGCUAGUUGGUGGGGUAAAGGCCUACCAAGGCGACGAUCCGUAGCGGGUCUGAGAGGAUGAUCCGCCACACUGGGACUGAGACACGGCCCAGACUCCUACGGGAGGCAGCAGUGGGGAAUUUUGGACAAUGGGGGGCAACCCUGAUCCAGCCAUGCCGCGUGAGUGAAGAAGGCCUUC
rnacentral:rRNA from 1 species